UAUCGACCCGGGAGACAGUGUCAGGUGGGCAGUUUGACUGGGGCGGUCGCCUCCUAAAGUGUAACGGAGGCGCCCAAAGGUUCCCUCAGAAUGGUUGGAAAUCAUUCGUAGAGUGCAAAGGCAUAAGGGAGCUUGACUGCGAGACCUACAAGUCGAGCAGGGACGAAAGUCGGGCUUAGUGAUCCGGUGGUUCCGCAUGGAAGGGCCAUCGCUCAACGGAUAAAAGCUACCCCGGGGAUAACAGGCUUAUCUCCCCCAAGAGUCCACAUCGACGGGGAGGUUUGGCACCUCGAUGUCGGCUCAUCGCAUCCUGGGGCUGUAGUCGGUCCCAAGGGUUGGGCUGUUCGCCCAUUAAAGCGGUACGCGAGCUGGGUUCAGAACGUCGUGAGACAGUUCGGUCCCUAUCCGUCGUGGGCGUAGGAAAUUUGAGAGGAGCUGUCCUUAGUACGAGAGGACCGGGAUGGACGCACCGCUGGUGUACCAGUUGUUCUGCCAAGGGCAUAGCUGGGUAGCUAUGUGCGGAAGGGAUAAGUGCUGAAAGCAUCUAAGCAUGAAGCCCCCCUCAAGAUGAGAUUUCCCAUAGCGUAAGCUAGUAAGAUCCCUGAAAGAUGAUCAGGUUGAUAGGUUCGAGGUGGAAGCAUGGUGACAUGUGGAGCUGACGAAUACUAAUAGAUCGAGGACUUAACCAUAUAA
rnacentral:rRNA from 1 species